AGGAUGAAAGAAGGCGAUGAAUGG
rnacentral:siRNA from 1 species